AAUCAACGCUGGCGGCGUGCCUAACACAUGCAAGUCGAACGCGAGAGGGGCUUCGGCCCCGAUUGAGUGGCGAACGGGUGAGUAACGCGUGGGUGACCUACCUUCGAGUGGGGGAUAACGUCCCGAAAGGGACGCUGAUACCGCAUAACAUCCUGCUUUUGAAUGGGUGGAGAUCAAAGCCGGGGAUCGCAAGACCUGGCGCUUGAUGAGGGGCCCGCGUCUGAUUAGCUAGNGGUGAGGUAACGGCCCACCAAGGCAACGAUCAGUAUCCGGCCUGAGAGGGCGGACGGACACACUGGGACUGAGACACGGCCCAGACUCCUACGGGAGGCAGCAGUGGGGAAUUGUUCGCAAUGGGCGCAAGCCUGACGACGCAACGCCGCGUGGAGGAUGAAGGUCUUCAGAUUGUAAACUCCUGUUGCCCGGGACGAAUGGCUCCGACCUAACACGUCGGAGUGUGACGGUACCGGGUGAGGAAGCCCC
rnacentral:rRNA from 1 species